rnacentral:rRNA from 1 species
GACGAACGCUGGCGGCGUGCUUAAUACAUGCAAGUCGAACGAUGAAGCCGGAGCUUGCUCUGGUGAAUUAGUGGCGAACGGGUGAGUAACACGUGAGUAACCUGCCCUUGACUCUGGGAUAACUGCUAGAAAUGGUAGCUAAUACCGGAUACGACCCUCGGAGGCAUCUCCAGGGGGUGGAAAGAAUUUCGGUCAAGGAUGGACUCGCGGCCUAUCAGCUAGUUGGUGAGGUAACGGCUCACCAAGGCGACGACGGGUAGCCGGCCUGAGAGGGUGACCGGCCACACUGGGACUGAGACACGGCCCAGACUCCUACGGGAGGCAGCAGUGGGGAAUAUUGCACAAUGGGCGCAAGCCUGAUGCAGCAACGCCGCGUGAGGGGUGACGGCCUUCGGGUUGUAAACCUCUUUUAGUAGGGAAGAGGCGAAAGUGACGGUACCUGCAGAAAAAGCACCGGCUAACUACGUGCCAGCCGCCGCCGUAA